rnacentral:rRNA from 1 species
CGGAGGGUGCAAGCGUUGCUCGGAAUUAUUGGGCGUAAAGGGGAGGUAGGUGGUCUCAUUUGUCUGGGGUGAAAGCCUUGAGCUUAACUCAAGAAGUGCCCCGGAAACGGUGAGACUGGAGUCCUGGAGAGGGUCGUGGAAUUCCCGGUGUAGCGGUGAAAUGCGUAGAGAUCGGGAGGAACACCUGAGGCGAAGGCGGCGACCUGGACAGGUACUGACACUCAACUCCGAAAGCGUGGGGAGCAAACAGGAUUAGAUACCCUGGUAGUCCACGCCGUAAACGAUGGGUACUAGGUUUGGUGGGUCUUAACCCCCGCUGAACCGGCGCUAACGCACUAAGUACCCCGCCUGGGAAGUACGGUCGCAAGACUA